GAUGAACGCUGGCGGCGUGCCUAAUACAUGCAAGUCGAGCGAACGGACGAGAAGCUUGCUUUUCUGAUGUUAGCGGCGGACGGGUGAGUAACACGUGGAUAACCUACCUAUAAGACUGGGAUAACUUCGGGCAACCGGAGCUAAUACCGGAUAAUAUUUUGAACCGCAUGGUUCAAAAGUGAAAGACGGUCUUGCUGUCCCUUAUAGAUGGAUCCUCGCUGCUUUAGCUAGUUGGUAAGGUAACGGCUUACCAAGGCAACGAUGCAUAGCCGACCUGAGAGGGUGAUCGGCCACACUGGAACUGAGACACGGUCCAGACUCCUACGGGAGGCAGCAGUAGGGAAUCUUCCGCAAUGGGCGAAAGCCUGACGGAGCAACGCCGCGUGAGUGAUGAAGGUCUUCGGAUCGUAAAACUCUGUUAUUAGGGAAGAACAUAUGUGUAAGUAACUGUGCACAUCUUGACGGUACCUAAUCAGAAAGCCACGGCUAACUACGUG
rnacentral:rRNA from 1 species